AUGACCGACAGCAAGAUGCCGGAUUUUCAAGCCGGGUAUGAGAAGGGGUACGCCGAACUGCUUGCCUCGCUGGCAGGCGCCAACCUGAUCUAUGAGGCGG
rnacentral:ncRNA from 1 species